GAAAGUUCCAAGUGCCAGGAUAGCAUCUAGCUUCCUGGAGUCAGGAGAUGGGGGUUUUCAACCUAAGCAAGGUUAAGUCCAAGUGGUGGGGGCAGGCGGGGGGCGAUAUUUCAGGGGAGACUCCAAGGAUGAAUGGAAAUUAGAAAAGUGAACGCAGAUGGUGAGGGGGGACGGGUUUCAGGCACAGAGAACAGCAUGUGCAAAGGCCUGGGGGGAGGACAUCGUGUGUUCAUGGACUGAGAGGCGGCCAGCAGGCUGGAGCUGAGCGGGUUGAGGAGGAUGGGGAGCCGGGGAAAGGCGCUCCACGCAGGGGGCACAGCAGGGGCAAAGGCCCGGAGUCAGGCCUGAGCCUGUGUGGUUUGAGGAAGUGACAGAGGCCUGUCUGGGAGGAAAGUAACAGCAGAGGGGAGACCAUAAGGUCAGGGCAGAGGGCAGGGCCGUGCUGGGCACUGUGGGCUGUGGAUAGGAAACUGGCAUUUAUGCUCGGGUGAGGGGAACUUGUUAGAAGAUUUUAAGGAGGGCAGGAACAUCUGGGGAUAAUGUGUAUUCUAGGAAUCUCAACCAAGUAAAUUCAUAGUUUGAAUGUUCACAAGACUUCUGCACAGGCAAAGUGAAAGAUCGUUUCUAGAGCUGUGAGAUAAGAUCAUAGUAAAAAAGAACUACUAAGUUUUUAAAGGUUAUUUCAAAUGAUGGAUUUCCAUCUUACAAUUGAAUGCAAGUAGGUUGCAAGGUUGAUGGAAAGUAGAAAAGUUUCCUGACUUGCGUGAACAGAAAAGAAACAUCAAUUUGAAAGGAAACCAUUUAUUUAUUUACUUCCUCUACAGUUUUCCUGACUGCUACAUUUCAUAAGAAGGGAUUGUUUAUGAGGGUCAAGGAGCUGGAGGCCUGGGGAGGAGCUGGUGUUUCUGUUCAAGUUUGAGGGUCCUGGAGCUGGAGCCCAGGGGAGGAGCCAGUGCUGCCACUGAUGUCUUAGGGUCGUGGAGCUGAAGAUCCCAGAGGAGCCGGUGCUGCUAUUCUAGCUUGAGUUUCGUGGAGCUGGAGACCCAGGGAGAAGAUGGUGCUGCUGUUCUAAUUUAAGGAUCGUGAAACAGAAGACCCAGAAAGGAGCUGGUGCUGCCGCUGCUCAGAUCUGAGGGUGUUGGAGCUGGAGCCUGGGGGUGGAGCCAUUGCUGCCAUUGAAGUGUGAGAGUCAUUGAGCUGGAAGUCCAGGAAGCAGCUGGUGCUGCUGUUCUAGUUUGAGGGUUGUGGAGUGCAGACCCAGGCAGGAGCAACAUUGCUGUAGUUCGAGGGUCAGAAAGCUGGCGACCCAGGGAGGAGAGGUCUUGUUCUAGUUUGAUUUUCGUGGAGCUGCAGACCCAGGCAGGAGCAAUGUUGUUGUAAUUCAAGGGUCCGGAAGCUGGAGACUCAGGGAGGAGAGGUCUUGUUCUGGUCUGAGGGUCCUGGAGCUACAGACCCAGGGAGGAGCAAUGUUGUUGUAAUUUGAGGGUUCGGUAGCUGGCACCCUGGGGAGGAGAAGUCUUGUUCUAGUUUGAGGGUGGUGGAGCUGCAGAGCCAGGGAGGAGCAGUGUUGUUGUAGUUUGAGGGUCAUGGAGGUACAGACCCAGGGAGGAGCCGUGUUGUUUUGAGUGUCGUGGAGCCGGAGAUCCACGGAGGAGCUGG
rnacentral:lncRNA from 10 species